GCUCUGCAGACCUGGCUGACUGGACAGUCGGGGUUAUGCAGGGACACGGCUACAUCGCCGUGAUUUGGGCAAUUUCAAAUGACGUCAUUAUCGGUGCGACGGAGACGCCGACAUGCAGGUGGGUCUCCCCCCACUCCACCUGUUACUAACCAGCCCUUAGUGGACUAUAUAUAGACCAGGUAAGCAGCUGUUCAGUGUACUGGCGCCACUCUGUUACCAGGGACACACUCAGCUAUACAAUAUACUGCAACACUAAGGACUUUAACGCCUUUGCCUAUUAUCCUUUCCAUACCCAUGGACUAAGGUCAGUUAGGUAGGCGGUUAUUUAGACAGAUUUACCUAUCUGUUUUUUCUAUGUCCGAUUAAUACACUGCAUGCACUAGCUGGGUGUGUGAACAUAUACCUGGAUCAGAUUCAUUGUUCUUUGCUUACCAGCAAUCAACUGCCAUACCACCGCAUGCAAUUGAGUUCUGCUUUUUCUUUAUGAAUGAAAUAUCUAUGCUCCUGAGGAAGCGCUAAUUCCAUAAGCGCGCAACAUGUCGAGCAAAUCCUCCUAGUCCUCUGGACAACCAUCCGGUCACUUGUGAUAUAACGUUUUUUAUAAUUAUGCUUUUUAUUUUAAGCUUUUUAUGUUAGAACUAUACAAUGUAUGUGAACCGUGUGUGGUAAA